AGACUGAGGACCAGCGUCCAACUAUGUGA
rnacentral:piRNA from 1 species